GUCUAUGACCAUGCCACCCUGAACGUGCCCGAUCCUGUCUGAUCUCGGAAGCCAAGCGGGGUCGGGCCUGGUUAGUACUUGGAUGGGAGACCACGUAGGAAGACUGGGUGCUGUAAGCG
rnacentral:rRNA from 1 species